GUUGAAACACCACUUCCCCUACAAUCACCGAAGUUAAGCAACGUUGGGCCUGGUCAGUACCUAGGUGGGUGACCGCAAGGAAAUAAUAGGCGCUGUAAG